rnacentral:rRNA from 1 species
GAGGAAUAUUGCGCAAUGGGGGAAACCCUGACGCAGCGACGCCGCGUGAGUGAAGAAGGUUUUCGGAUCGUAAAGCUCUGUCAGAAGGGAAGAAAUGCUGCAUGGUUAAUACCCAUGCAGUUUGACGGUACCU